rnacentral:rRNA from 1 species
UACAUGGGGGUGCAAACGUUGCUCGGAAUUAUUGGGCGUAAAGCGCACGUAGGCGGUUCGUUAAGUCGGAUGUGAAAAGCCCUCGGCUCAACUGAGGAAGUGCACCCCGAAACUGGCGAGCUUUGAGUACGAAAAGAGGAUCGCGGAAAUUCCCCGGUGUAGAGGUGAAAAUUCGUAGAUAUCGGGGAGGAACACCGGUGGC